rnacentral:rRNA from 1 species
GGAGUUAGCCGGUGCUUCUUCUGUGAGUGAUGUCCUUCCUGCCGGCUAUUAACCCGCAGGCCUUCUUCCUCACUGAAAGUGCUUUACAACCCGAAGGCCUUCUUCACACACGCGGCAUGGCUGGAUCAGGGUUGCCCCCAUUGUCCAAUAUUCCCCACUGCUGCCUCCCGUAGGAGUCUGGGCCGUGUCUCAGUCCCAGUGUGGCUGAUCAUCCUCUCAGACCAGCUACGGAUCGUCGCCUUGGUGAGCCGUUACCUCACCAACCAGCUAAUCCGACAUAGGCUCAUCCGAUAGCGCGAGGCCCGAAGGUCCCCCGCUUUCCCCCGUAGGGCGGUAUGCGGUAUUAGCCUGGGUUUCCCCAGGUUAUCCCCCACUACCGGGCAGAUUCCUAUGCAUUACUCACCCGUCCGCCGCUCGCCACCAGGGAGCAAGCUCCCCGUGCUGCCGCUCGACUUGCAUGUGUUAGGCCUGCCGCCAGCGUUCAAUCUGAGCCAUAAUCAAACUCUGA